UAUGGGGCAGGGGGCUAGCACCACUUCAUAAAGCCACCAUAAGACAGCUAUAGCCUAAGACUAAACACAGCUAAGUAAGAAAAUAUAGUUACCUAAUUUGUCUCAUAUUCUAUGUAUCUUACAUUUUUAGUUUUUAUAUGUUUUUCCGGUUUGACCUAGAGACAAAUAUUGUGCAAAGUAUUAUAAUCUCCCCGCAAUAUUAUCAGUAAGAUUUACCCCCACCUGUCAAAGUAUUUAUUUUUAUUUUCAUUUUAGUGCGUGUAUGUUUGGGUUGUCUGUCACUUGGUAUUUGGUUGUAACUGUCAUCUCUGAACAUAAGUUAACCAUCAGUCACAAUGUCAUUUCUCAUAACACUGUUGGCUUCUGUGUAGAUGGUGGCUCUUACAUGAAAGGCCUGGACUCCUCUCAAAAACCUGGGAAAUGGAGCUCGGAAUAUAGGACUGAUAACAAGACUUUGGCUUCAAACAAGUACAUGCUUAUGGAGGGAGACCAAUCUGGGACUGUAGCACCACAAUCUGGCCCGUCAUUUGGAUGUCGUUACUGAGUUGAUUCCAGGUAAGCCUUCCACUUUAUUGGUGUCAAGGUCCUCUUAGAGUAGGCCCUGACCUCUGUCGUUUUAAUUCAAGGCAGCCCAGACUCAGGGCACUGGUGCUAAUCUCAUUGGCCCGUUUUUCAAUUGGUACCACUAGAACAAAUAGCUAUAACCAAAGAGAUUUGACACCUGUAAGUAUAACCAAGAGUAGUGCCUCUGUCACUAUGUGGCACUGUGGUAAAAUAGUGUCUCCAUGAUGGGAGGUCAGAGAACCAUCACGAAAUCACUCAUGUAACAAUUACUAAAAAGGGGUUGCGGAGUGUAGUGGCAUAAUAAAAUGAUGCCUUUGCUGGCAUCAUCUGAAAGGCAGGGCGGUACACCUGCAAAGGAGAGAAGGGAUCACAUCAGUGUUCUCUGUGUUUGCGCUUGCUAGUUUGACGCCUGCUUCAGGGCUGCACAUCACAGGAGCGACUGCUGAAAAAACAGGUUGUAGGGGUCCUUGCGCACAGCCUGCCUGUGGUGCUGCCUGAAGGACUACCAUGGAAACAAGGAGUGUGACAGGCUCUGGGGGGAUCCACCACAGCUGCAGGCACU
rnacentral:lncRNA from 8 species